rnacentral:rRNA from 2 species
UAGGGAAUAUUGCGCAAUGGGCGAAAGCCUGACGCAGCAAUGCCACGUGAAUGAGGAAGGCCUUCGGGUUGUAAAGUUCUGUCAGAAUGGAAAAACGGUUAGUGAUCUAAUAGGUCAUUAAAUUGAUGGUACAUUCAAAGGAAGCACCGGCUAACUUCGUGCCAGCAGCCGCGGUAAUACGAAGGGUGCAAGCGUUGUUCGGAUUUAUUGGGCGUAAAGUGCAUGUAGGCGGAUAGGUAAGUCAGAUGUGAAAUCUCAAGGCCUAACCUUGAAACUGCGUCUGAAACUGCUUAUCUAGAAUGUCGGAGAGGGAAGGAGAAUUUCGCAUGUAGGGGUAAAAUCCGUAGAGAUGCGAAGGAAUACCAGAGGGGAAACCGCCUUCCUGGACGAUUAUUGACGCUGAGGUGCGAAAGCGUGGGGAGCAAACAGG